GCGGCCGUAGCUCAGUUGGUAGAGCUCCAGCUUCCCAAGCUGGUUGUCAAGGGUUCGAGUCCCUUCGGCCGCUCCA
rnacentral:tRNA from 1 species